rnacentral:lncRNA from 1 species
AGUCUUCUAGAUUUAAAAUUCUGCUCUAUAAGUCCAUGACCUAUAUUAGAUGAUUAUGUUGGAGACACAUAAUUCUUUCUCAUUAAAUUAAUUGUUGUCAUCCUUUUCAUUGAACAGGGGGUCACCAUUCUCUUAUUCUACAAGGAAGGAAUUUCGAUAUUUACUUGAGAUGUUUUCCCCAAGAUUUUUUUUUUUUUUUU